rnacentral:rRNA from 1 species
AUACGUAGGGGGCAAGCGUUGACCGGAAUUAUUGGGCGUAAAGCGCACGCAGGCGGUCUCUUAAGUCUGAUGUGAAAGCCCCCGGCUUAACCGUGGAGGGUCAUUGGAAACUGGGAGGCUAGAGUGCAGAAGAGGGAGGUGGAAUUCCAAGUGUAGCGGUGAAAUGCGUAGAGAUUUGGAGGAACACCAGUGGCGAAGGCGGCUUUCUGGUCUGCAACUGACGCUGAGGCGCGAAAGCAUGGGGAGCAAACAGGAUUAGAUACCCUGGUAGUCCAUGCCGUAAACGAUGAGUGCUAAGUGUUAGGGGGUUUCCGCCCCUUAGUGCUGCAGCUAACGCAUUAAGCACUCCGCCUGGGGAGUACGGCCGCAAGGUUGA